AAGAAGAAGAAAAAGAAAACGGGAAAAAAAAUACACAUUUUAAGCAGGAAGUUAUAAAACAAACAAUAUAAAUAAAGCAGAACAGCUUCAGACUAACCAUGGCACUUCAGUAAAUCCCAUUAGACAACUGUUCUCACCUUUAAGUAACUGAGUGUUUUAAAAGCCUGGCCCUCAACCACUCAGGUUUUAUUGAAAGUGAAUGGGAUUUGGGCUUUUAGAUUAUUCAGGACUUCUGAGAAAUUCCACCCACAAUGUUUAGCUUUGGAAAAGGUUUUAAGGUAACUGGGAGACCUGAAAGUCUGUUUCACAGUAGAGUGGGGGAAAAAGGCAAGCUGUAAGACCCAACAAAGGUGACUUUGGUUUUAACCAAUCUAUCCAUGGACAGUGUUUGAGAAGAACAUCAGAGGCUGUGGAUGCAGAACGGAUGCUAUGGGCCUGGGGUGGUCAACAUCAAAAAUGAGAUGUGUUUUCUGUAUCAGAAAAUGUUUAUGUUUGGCUUGGAUUCAAGUAAAGGCUCCUACUGGAAGACUUGGAGAAAAGACUUAAAAAACGAAAGUGCAAAAUCAUAUAAUUUUAAUUGUAAAUCACUGUUUGGUCUUUUAAAUAUAUAUAUAUAGA